rnacentral:rRNA from 1 species
CUUAAAUUGAAGAGUUUGAUCAUGGCUCAGAUUGAACGCUGGCGGCAGGCCUAACACAUGCAAGUCGAGCGGUAGCACGGGGGAGCUUGCUCCCUGGGUG